rnacentral:piRNA from 1 species
ACUGAUUUCUUUUGGUGUU